rnacentral:rRNA from 1 species
ACACUCCUGCGGGAGGCAGCAGUGGGGAAUUUUGGACAAUGGGCGAAAGCCUGAUCCAGCCAUGCCGCGUGCAGGAUGAAGGCCUUCGGGUUGUAAACUGCUUUUGUACGGAACGAAACGGCCUUUUCUAAUAAAGAGGGCUAAUGACGGUACCGUAAGAAUAAGCACCGGCUAACUACGUGCCAGCAGCCGCGGUAAUACGUAGGGUGCAAGCGUUAAUCGGAAUUACUGGGCGUAAAGCGUGCGCAGGCGGUUAUGUAAGACAGUUGUGAAAUCCCCGGGCUCAACCUGGGAACUGCAUCUGUGACUGCAUAGCUAGAGUACGGUAGAGGGGGAUGGAAUUCCGCGUGUAGCAGUGAAAUGCGUAGAUAUGCGGAGGAACACCGAUGGCGAAGGCAAUCCCCUGGACCUGUACUGACGCUCAUGCACGAAAGCGUGGGGAGCAAACAGGAUUAGAAACCCGGGUAGUCCCAUGAU